UACGUAGGGGGCAAGCGUUAUCCGGAUUUACUGGGUGUAAAGGGGGCGCAGACGGCGAUGCAAGCCAGGAGUGAAAGCCCGGGGCCCAACCCCGGGACUGCUCUUGGAACUGCGUGGCUGGAGUGCAGGAGGGGCAAGCGGAAUUCCUAGUGUAGCGGUGAAAUGCGUAGAUAUUAGGAAGAACACCAGUGGCGAAGGCGGCUUGCUGGACAGUAACUGACGUUGAGGCUCGAAAGCGUGGGGAGCAAACAGG
rnacentral:rRNA from 1 species